AGGAAUACAUGAUGAUCUCACCUCAACUUGAACUCUCUCACUGAUUAUUGAAGUUGAGAAAGAUCUGAUAUUCUA
ensembl:snoRNA SNORD81 Small nucleolar RNA SNORD81